AACUCGCCGCCGAAAUUUUUUUGUUAGGCGUUGCUGUCACAAUGUUUGUCGGCGCAGGUUUCUGAUUUGGAACAGACAGAAAAAGUUAUUCAUUGUCGAUAAAAUAAACUUUAUGUUAAAAGUUCAUUAACAAGAUAAAAUGAUUUUAAGAAUAUUUUUUGUGGUCAACGGAAUAUUAUUAGCGUUUGCUUUGUGCCUAAUAAUUGCUUUGUACUUUCUUCGUCAGUACUUAAAGUCAAGAAAGGCUAAUUUGGAAACCAGAAAUCCAAAAGUAAAUGUUGGAUUUUUUCAUCCUUAUUGUAAUGCUGGUGGUGGAGGAGAACGUGUGCUUUGGUGUGCUGUAAGAUCAAUACAGGCAAAGUAUGACAAUGUAAAAGUGGUUAUUUACACUGGUGAUAUUGAGAGCUCUCCAAGUAGUAUAUUGGAAAAAGUGAAUAAUGUAUUCAAUAUAAAUCUGGAAAAGGAGAAUAUCACAUUUGUGUACUUAAAAUUUCGGCACUUAGUGGAAGCAAAAAGGUAUCCCGUUUUCACACUUCUUGGACAAAGUAUUGGAUCGAUGAUAUUAGGUUUGGAAGCGUUAGUUAAAUUUCCUCCAGACAUAUACCUUGAUACAAUGGGGUAUGCGUUCACUUUACCACUAUUUCGAUUUAUUGGAUGUUGCAAAGUUGGAUGUUAUGUUCAUUAUCCAACUAUAAGUACUGAUAUGCUACGAAGAGUUCAACAGCGUGAAUAUUCACAUAACAACCAUAGUUAUGUUGUACGUAAUCCGUUUUUAACAUGGCUGAAAGUAACUUAUUAUAAAAUAUUCGCAAAGAUUUAUAGUUGGGUUGGAAAGAGUUCUGAAACUGUUAUGGUUAAUUCCUCUUGGACUGAAAAUCACAUUUUGGAUUUAUGGGGAGUUCCUUUUAAGACUCAUCGCGUGUAUCCACCGUGUGAAGUAAAUCAUUUAAAAAAAUUACAGCGAAGUGAAAAUCCAAAUGAAAUAAUUAUUUUAUCAGUGGGACAAUUUCGUCCCGAAAAAGAUCAUCCACUUCAGUUACAAACCAUGUACGAAUUACGUACCUUAUUAGUCCGUAAUGAAGAUUUGUGGAACCAAAUCAAAUUAAUUAUUGUAGGAUCUUGUCGUAAUGAGUCUGAUUAUGAACGACUUAAAAAUAUGCAAGAUUUAACAAAGCAUUUGUCAUUGGAAAAUAACGUUGAAUUUAAAGUAAAUGUUCCAUACCAUGAAUUACUGGAAUGUUAUAAGAAAUCGAAUAUUGGUAUUCACACAAUGUGGAAUGAACACUUUGGUAUUGGCGUUGUUGAAUGUAUGGCAGCCGGUAUUAUAAUGGUGGGUCACAAAUCUGGUGGUCCUUUAUUGGAUAUUAUUGAAACAUCUGAAGGAAGUCAAAAUGGAUUCUUAGCCACUGAUGCAAUUGAAUAUGCAAACUGCAUUUUGGCAAUUAUUUAUAACACAAAAGAGGACAAUGACCGAAUAAGGCAAGCUGCCAGGUCCUCCGUAGAACGAUUUUCAGAAAAGGAAUUUGAAAUUAAUUUUCUCCGCGCAAUUACACCACUUUUUAACAAAGCAAUAAAAAAAUAAAUAUAAUUUUGAAAUAAACUUAAAAUUAUAGUGUUUACCAGUUCAAUUAAGAGAGUGACAUAUAGGUUAGGUUAGGUUUGCACAGGUAGCCAAUAUCGGCUUUACUUGGGUCCAUGUUGAUCCCUUUGUAAAAAUACCUGUAAGAAGAAGAAAAGAGAAGAGAGGGGGAGAUUGAGGAGAGUGAAAGAACAGAAACAAUUGCAAAGAGAAGGAGAAGAUGAGAAAUGAGAAAGCCAGGGCAGCUGCCAUGGGUCCUCCGUAGAACGAUUUUCAGAAAAGGAAUUUGAAAUUAAUUUUCUCCGCGCAAUUACACCACUUUUUAACAAAGCAAUAAAAAAAUAAAUAUAAUUUUGAAAUAAACUUAAAA